CGGUUCUUGCUUUGUCUUCUUCUUGUUUGGAUGCUAUGUAUUUGGUUGUCUUGCAAGUACAUUCAAUGUACUGACCUGGCAUGUCAUGCCAGUUUUGUAGGUCAUACCCGUAUUGUUCGCUUGAUCCGUCGUGCUAGGCCGUAACCUUGCCAGUCCUGUGAGUUGUGUAGCCUAGCCAAAGUUGUUAUGCUGCCAAACCAAGACUUCCCCCGCCAUUCAAUCAGACUUCUGUUGUCAUUUAUUAGCCUUGGGGCUAUGCCAGAUAACUGCAUUCCUCCAUGAUGUAAUCUCAUAUACAUGUAUUUGAUGCAUAUUCUUGUACCUGGGAUGCUGUAUUAUGGACCUGUCGUGCGUCAGGUGUUAUCCUGGGCUGACGUAUGAAGGCCCCCUGCUCCAUGCGGAUCGGGGUGCCACAGGGAAAUGGUAUCAGAGCAGCCAGGCUGGCAUAGGUUAUCCUAGCAUUAGAUCACCGAUGCCAUUAAACCGUAAUUACCCUAAGGGAUUUGACUCAUCCGUGGCAUCCAGCAUGGCCACUAUGUCGGUGUACUAGAGUAGGGGUACCCUAUUACCCCGAACUCGUGCACGGGCAGUUGCAGCGCCCCGCGGCAAGGCUUGCCGGGUGACCGCCAGGACCCUCCGUGGUUCCCGUGAAGACCAUUCAAGAACAAAGUAUUCAAGUCGAGGCCCCGGCAAGAGGAGUUUGCCGGGAAGGACAACCGAGGCCCCGAUAAGAGGAGCUUGCCGGGAAGGCCAACCAAGGCCCCGGCAAGAGGAGCUUGCCGGGAAGGCCACUCAAGACAUACCAAGAAAGCUUGCUGCGACGCGCCCCGCGUCCCGGCAAGAUUCGGCGAGCGACAAGCUUCCGGACGCGACAAGACGACGGCCGCGGCAAGGAGCUUGCCGCGGGGAACCCCCGCUGCGUGCCCGCGCUCCAGCUCACCUGUUAACGUGUCGCUCUGGGACACUCCCAGAGCGCACGUGGCGGGAGGCCGUGCAGCUAGGGGUACGUGGUGGCAAGCGGAGAUGAAGAGAAGCCCAUCGUGGCAAACGGUGGCACUCCUAACGGUCACCUUUUGCACUGUUUAGGAGACUCAGACAGGCAUUUAAUGCCCUUGUCCCCUGCCGUCAGAGUUAGGUAGGGUGCACUGUAUCGACAGUACCGGUAGCUAUACCUACCACAUCCUUUUCCAUUUUUACCCUUCUUGUCUACGUUGCCCCCUGUCGGUGACCCCUUGAGUAUAAAAGGAGGCCCAAGCACAACGUAGAGGGGGUUCCGCAGGUCGGGGAGUUCAGAGACUCGGCUAGCUCGGCUCGUUCAACCCCAGAGACACUCUUACGCUCAGUCUGGCAGCGUCCAUCGCUCCUGAGCAAGAAUCCAAUAUACACAAACAAGCAAUAGUAGGGUUUUACGCAUCCGUGCGGCCCGAAGCUGGGUAAAAAUCCCCCCGCGUGCACUGCCUCGAUCCGCUCUUUGUGCGCUCUCCGCCCCCCACCGAACCAAAAAGGGGCCCUGUCCCCAUAGGUGCUGGCGGGAAUCAGCAUCGCCCGCCAGCAUCUCUGGCGUGCCAGGUAGGGGGCGUCGAGACCGUGCGAACCCGAUCCGGCGUGCACGCAAGCUAAAUCCUCAUCGUCAUAGCUCCCAAGGAGCGGGCGAGCGAAAGAGCGACGCCAGUGCGGCAACAGAAGAAGCUAAGUCGUGCAAAACUUUAGAUAUUUCCUUUCUAUACGAAGUUAUCCGCCUUGGAGAUCUUGUUCUUUGUACGAAAAACCUGUGCGCGGAGGAAUCAACUCGUAGCUAGUCGCACCCUUACUUUGUUUCGAGUCCGCUCAACAACUUAAGUGAGCUGCUAGUGCCCUUACUUUGCUUCGAGUCCACUCAGCAACUUAAGAGAGCUGCUAGCGCCCUUACUUUGUUUCGAGUCCGCUCAACAACUUAAGCGAGCUGCAACUAGUUGCGACAAGAUUACUUGUCGGUAGCGACCCCGCCAGCAGGCUGCUGAAGUUCCGCACUCGGCGCUCGCGGCAAGGGUGCCUGCACCAGCAAGUUUCCCUAGAAAGCGUAGGGUGGACGUACAAAGAGGGGUCGAAUAGGAAGAUAGCAUGUGCUAUUUAUUUAAGAUUUCUGCAUAGACCUGUAUGCCGAGGAGCCUUCUCGGGGCUAGUUGCGCUCCAUGUUGCCUCGAGUCCGCUCGGCAACUUGUGCGGUUGCCCUAGAACCAAGAAGGUAAACCUUUCCGGGAGGCGAUGUUCCCAAAAUAGCCGCUAAGGGCCCGUUCCCUCAAGCGCUGCUGGCUGGAUCACACGCACCGGAAAGCAUUCUAGCAGACAUAGGGAAUAUGUAGCAGAAGUCAAAAUUCGCAAACAAGUUAAGUGCACUUCGGACACUAAUCACUUGCUAUGUUUGAACGCAGUUAUGGCCCGGGGGCUGGCAACGCCCUUAGGGCCAAUCUUUUUGGCGUCAAGAACGACGAAGUUUUUCACCAUAAGCCUUUCCGGCAAUGAUCUUGCCGGGAGCCGGCGUCAAGAACGACGAAGUUCUUCGCCAUAAGCCUUUCCGGCAACAAUCUUGCCGGGAGCCGACGUCAAGAACGACGAAGUUCUUCGCCAUAAGCCUUUCCGGCAACGAUCUUGCCGGGAGCCGGCGUCAAGAACGACGAAGUUCUUCGCCAUAAGCCUUUCCGGCAAUGAUCUUGCCGGGAGCUGGUGUCAAGAACAACGAAGUUCUUCGCCAUGAGCCUUCCUGGCAACCAGCUUGCCGGAAGCCAGCAUCGAGAACGUCAAAGUUCUCUGCUGAAGAUAAAAGCCUUCCUGGCAACCAGCUUGCCGGAAGCCAGCAUCGAGAACGUCAAAGUUCUCUGCUGAAGAUAAAAGCCUUCCUGGCAACCAGCUUGCCGGAAGCCAGCAUCGAGAACGUCAAAGUUCUCUGCUGAAGAUAAAAGCCUUCCUGGCAACCAGCUUGCCGGAAGCCAGCAUCGAGAACGUCAAAGUUCUCUGCUGAAGAUAAAGGCUUCCUGGCAACCAGCUUGCCGGAAGCCGGCAUCGAGAACGUCAAAAUUCUCUGCUGAAGAUAAAAGCCUUCCUGGCAACCAGCUUGCCGGAAGCCAGCAUCGAGAACGUCAAAGUUCUCUGCUGAAGAUAAAAGCCUUCCUGGCAACCAGCUUGCCGGAAGCCAGCAUCGAGAACGUCAAAGUUCCCUGCUGAAGACAAAAGCCUUCCUGGCAACCAGCUUGCCGGAAGCCGGCAUCGAGAACAUUGAAGUUCUCUGCGGCAGAUAAGAGCCUUCCCGACAAGCCAGUAUCACCGGGGGCUGUGAGUGCCAAGAAUCGUCCACGGCAAACCAGAGUUGCCGAGGGCUGCGCUAUCAGAUAAGUCUUUCAUCCCUCAUCAUGCAUCCUCUUAUGGACUGGGGAAUGCGAAACCGUGUUUCUUCCCAGAAGCUGCCGUGCUCCCUCGACUCUAGGCCCUGGGGCUCGUUCUCGGGGCCAAGUUUGGUCGUAGUCGUAGCAGCAAAGGGAUGAAACAAGGAGACCGCACCCACCUCGUUCCUGCCUCCGUUAAAAGCGUGAGAAAGGUUGAGCGACGUGGGAAGGCGGCAGGGCCUGUUGCCAGGAGAUGAAAUGUCUGUCCGAGGGAUACCAAGGAUUUGUUCCUUGGCGUGGGUUUAACUCGCGAGACAAAUAACCCGGAAAGCAUCCCCCUGUUUCAUUAAAAAACAUCCCGUUCAGGUACAGUCCAUAGAGGAUGAAAAACAUGAAAGAGAGGAUUACAGAUUUUAGAUACAGCUAAGGCCUGAAGGCUUACAAAUUAAAAAGAUAAGAUGCUUGUAAUCCCUUUCCUGUCCCUCUUUUCAGGAGGCAGGUCAAGGAGGCGAAAAGGGCAAAAGGGGUUCCUAGGCGAGCUACGGGUGCCAGAAGACACCAAGGGAACAUCCCGGGGGUCGUCCGAAGGCUGGACGGCGACGGUGGCGCUGGAAGCGGGGCUCGAAGACGGGGCGAUAGGACGUCAGCGCGCUGUCGAGGGCACCACGCCCUCGUACUCCGGCUUGACGGCCUUGUCGCCUACCCUCUUCCCCUUCCGCAGCCUCCCUACGCCAGCCGCCCAAGGAGACGACCCCGGGGAGUUCAAGAAGCCGGCGACGCGGAUGAUGGGGUCACCGGUGCCGCGCAAAGCGGUGCCCGACGCCUAGUCGGACCCGCUACUCUGCCGCCCGCUACCCUCGUCGUCGCUGUCGCUCCCCUCUUCAUCGCUCUUGCUCGAGGAGGGGCCUUCGCUGUCGGAGGAGCUAUCCACGCAGCACUUCGCCUGAGUGCCGAGGCACCCGAAGGCCUUGACGGAGAGGAGAUCGCCCUCCAUUAGCUUAAAAUGGAGGGUAAACCCCUCCGUCAAGCUGUGGAUGCGGGCGAACAUCUUCCACCCUCGAUCAAGAUACAUCACAUUAGGGGCUGGGAAUGCAACGCGGACUCGCGUGCCGCUGAUCCCACAGCCCCUCAUGUGCAGUCUCAGCGUCUCGGGCGGCUCCACUUCCAUCACGCGCGCAAACGGAGCUGGAAGCCGGAGGCGACGACGAGGCGCCCUGCGCAGCCUGACGAAGAACUCGCAAGGGUCGUCCCCUAUGUGGACCGCCGUGGGAGGAAGAGCCGCCGGCGGAGGUGAAGCUGACGCGCCAUCCCGUCCGCCUCUUCCCCGAGCGCCUCGACCUCGUCCUCGACCUCGUCCGCGACCUCGUCCCCUUCCUCUUCCCCUCAAGACUGGCUCUGCCACCACGGGCGCAGAAGAGGAAGAGAGGCGCUCUCUGGCGGCGACCCUCGCCGCCACCGAGGAAGGGCCUGGGUUCCCUUUCUCCAUGGCAGAUGAGAGAAAGGGGAGCAGAAGCUGAAGAAAGGAGAAGAUGAGAGAGUGCGGGUUUUCCAUGCUCCCAUCCCACUCUUUAUAAAGGAGCGAGGUGGGGGCUCGGCCGCCCCGCUCAGCGAAUCAAGGCACAGGAAGGGCAGGGAGUCGGGGCCAACCCGCUCGCGAUGGCCCAAUUUCCCAAUCCACCGUCCGUGACCUUAAGCGCAUGGAAGCCGCGUGGCGGGGAUGCAGAACUGAGGCGACAGAUGAGGCAGCAUCGUUCCGCCCCGUGAACGCGGGGAGUGGACGUCCCGAAAACCGCGCACCAGCCCCGUCCAGUAAAUGCACCACGCCCUCACACCUACCUCCGUUUAAAGAGGAGGGCGUGAAUCGUCCCCAUCAUCGUGGCAUGACGCAUGCUCGGGGGGCUUAGCCCCACGCAAACUCCCACGAUCUCACCCAAGACGCCGCAUUUGACGCGUGCCGUUCUGGGCGUGCGCAGUGGGAACGGAGUUAGAUUCGGCGUGACCUAGGCCGCGCGUGCCCGUGCACUGUUUUGGGCCUGGCCCAACAGCGCUCGGCACCGUGUAUGGCCCAGGCCCGGGGGCUCCUGUCGGUGUACUAGAGUAGGGGUACCCUAUUACCCCGAACUCGUGCACGGGCAGUUGCAGCGCCCCGCGGCAAGGCUUGCCGGGUGACCGCCAGGACCCUCCGUGGUUCCCGUGAAGACCAUUCAAGAACAAAGUAUUCAAGUCGAGGCCCCGGCAAGAGGAGUUUGCCGGGAAGGACAACCGAGGCCCCGGCAAGAGGAGCUUGCCGGGAAGGCCAACCAAGGCCCCGACAAGAGGAGCUUGCCGGGAAGAGACAAGACCCCGGCAAGAGGAGCUUGCCGGGAAGGCCACUCAAGACAUACCAAGAAAGCUUGCUGCGACGCGCCCUGCGUCCCGGCAAGAUCCGGCGAGCGACAAGCUUCCGGAUGCGACAAGACGACGGCCGCGGCAAGGAGCUUGCCGCGGGGAACCCCCACUGCGUGCCCACGCUCCAGCUCACCUGUUAACGUGUCGCUCUGGGACUCUCCCAGAGCACACGUGGCGGGAGGCCGUGCAGCUAGGGGUACGUGGUGGCAAGCGGAGAUGAAGAGAAGCCCAUCGUGGCAAACGGUGCCACUCCUAACGGUCACCUUUUGCACUGUUUAGGAGACUCAGACAGGCAUUUAAUGCCCUUGUCCCCUGCCGUCAGAGUUAGGUAGGGUGCACUGUAUCCACAGUAGCGGUAGCUAUACCUACCACAUCCUUUUCCAUUUUUACCCUUCUUGUCUACGUUGCCCCCUGUCGGUGACCCCUUGAGUAUAAAAGGAGGCCCAAGCGCAACGUAGAGGGGGUUCCGCAGGUCGGGGAGUUCAGAGACUCAGCUAGCUCGGCUCGUUCAACCCCAGAGACACUCUUACGCUCAGUCUGGCAGCGUCCAUCGCUCCUGAGCAAGAAUCCAAUAUACACAAACAAGCAGCAGUAGGGUUUUACGCAUCCGUGCGGCCCGAAGCUGGGUAAAAAUCCCCCCGCGUGCACUGCCUCGAUCCGCUCUUUGUGCUCUCUCCGCCCCCCACCGAACCAAAAAGGGGCCCUGUCCCCAUAGGUGCUGGCGGGAAUCAGCAUCGCCCGCCGGCACACUAUUAAUCAAUAGGUGGCACAGUCGGGACCGACACGUCCUCACCCCGUUGUCCCCGCCUAGUUAUCCGUGGAGCAAGUAGCAACCAUAUCCUUUCUGGUCGGCCACACCGCUUCCCCUUCACCAUUAAGGGAAAGGGGCCACACCAUGCAGGCAUGUCCCGCAUGGCUGCCUAUAAAACCCCCUUUCCGCUAGCCGUAUCGCUCACUCCUCAUUCAGCCAUGUCCCUGUAGAGAAGCCUAGCUAGUAACACUCUAGUCAUGGCUAGCACCCUCAAAACUACUAAGUUCCACAGCCGCACAAGCGCCGUCAACCAUCCUGGUUUUCCACGCCUUCUUGGUGAGAUGCUCACCCAAGCCUUUGGCUAUGAUGCUAGCCCCGACUAUCUGGUGUUUCAGUCAACACCCGUUCCUCACCUUCAUAUCUAUGAUGCAGGAGUGCACAUCAGCCCCGGUCCCGAGGUCGAUGGCCAGUCGUUGGUUUUUCAGGGUAGAGCCAUGCCUACCACUCAUUUGGCCAUCCAGGCCGCUGUUGUGGAGGUAAUCCUAUACCUCUGAACCAAGUUCUCACAAGUGGCAGAUCGAAGGGAGUUCUGUUUCUUCCCCAUUGUUACAGCGAUAGGAAUUCAACCACCCCCCUCUAUCCAAGGGAAUGACCCCGCAAUCGCUCUCCUGGUGCAGUAUAUCAUAGCCCAAGGAAUGAUGAUUUCGAGGAUGCUUGCCGAAUUCAGAACCUUGGACAACGAUGCAGUGCGAGUUGUUAAGGAAGCUUACCGUGAGGCUCGUAAGUUUGCAUCUCACGUGGCCCACCCAACGCUAUCCGAGCCAGUACUACCCUCUCAUCCGGUGUUGUGGCCUCGGCCAAACAUCAUCACUCUCGACAAGACUCUUUUCCGGAUUGUCACAACCCUAGUUUAGCCUUUGCUUGUCCUUGCAUGAUCAUCAUGCCUAAAUUCUGAAAUUUGAAUUGAGGGAAUUUUCAAAGCCUCAAAAACCUUUUAAAACUAAUCAACAUUUAAUUCUCAUCAAAUGAGUCCAAAGAAAUGUUCCUGUUACUCUGUAACAAUAUUGGUAAGAGGUAAAAUUCAAACCAAUAUUUUUGGAAUUACAGAAAUAUUUAGUUUGGGCCUUUGACUUAAAUCAAUGACAUAUUUGAGUUGAAUUUAUUUAUGUUAUAUAAGAAAUGAAGUUAAAAUAUUUUUGUAAGUUGCCUUUGACCUUGGACUAGUUCCUGAGACCACAUAACAAUUUACAGAAAUUUCAAAAAUAAUAAUUUGAUGUUUUAAAUCAAAUCAAAACCAAUUGCAGAAAAUAGAAAACAGAACAAAAUUAGAAAAAUAGAAAAGGGACUUACCUGGCUUACCUAUCGCGGCCCAGCUGGCCAGCCCACCUGGCGGCCCAGCCACUGGCCUCCUCCUGUCGUCUUCUUCCUUGCCAGAAGGACGGGCGCGUGCCCGACGCGCGCGCAACGCCGCCUGGCCACCUCCUGCUUGCCGCUUUCCCCCUCAACGCUCUAGAGAUGCCAUGCGACCCCCUGGAGCCAUAUGGAUCCCCCACACCUCCUCUUCCCUUCUCCGUCUCGCUCUCUCUCCCGCAGCCGAAUUCCACGGUCGCUGCCGAUCGCUGCCACCACGGCCACCGGCCUGCCCUAGCCCCAUGGACGUGUCCUCAAGCUCCGCUUUCAUUCUCUACGUCCUCCACACUGAGCCACGCAUCUCGGGAGGCCCUAGAACGCCGCCAUCACCGUUGUCAUCAACCUCUGCCCCGACAUUCGUCAUCCGUCGUUUCGCGUCCAUUCGGACAUCCCCGAGCUCACCGUCAAGCUCAUCGUGAUCGGUGUGACGCUGCGAUCUUUUCCCCCUAAGCCUGCCCCCGUUUGAUUGUCGUAGCCCCCGCCCCCUUGCUAACAGCAGCCGCCGCCACGCAGGCUCAUCGCCGGCGCAACCCCGGUGACCAUUGGGUCAUGGGCGUGCACCAUUGUGCUGGCCGUGACCCGUAGAGCCCCCCAACACCUUAGCUCGCUCGUUUGAGAGCAGCAGCGCCGAACCCGACAACACCGAGCGCCGGCCGCCGCGAAGCUCGUCGCUGGUGCCUCUGCAGGCCACCCCAGCUCCAUCCGCACCCACCACUGGAUGCGCCACUCCGCCAGCUCCCCGUAGAUGCUCCCCGCGUGCCAAACUGGACCCUGUAGCAAAAUCCUGAUGCCCUCUGCCGCGUUCACAGGCCGGUGGUGAUGACGUUGCACCAUCAUUAGGGACUAAUUACCAACUUAAUUACCCCCUGACCCGCUAACGCACGGGCCCCAUGCCCUUAGUUAACCAUAGUUUAAAUUCCUAUUAGUUUUAACUAAUCACCGUGGCCCACGUGUCAGCGUUGACCUGGCUGACGUGGCCCCUGUCUGACCCCACCCGUUAGUGACCCAAGCCAGCUUGUGACACUAACCAAUGGGCCCCCUAGUCAGGUUUGACCUGGACCAGCCCAUGUUGACUUGCUGACGUUGUCAUGACGUCAGGCUGAUGCCCUAUUUAUUUUCUGGAACUUUAAAUAAAUCAGAAAUGAUUUAUGAUUUCCAGAAAAUGCCCAAAACUUCUAAAAUUCAUAGAAAAUAAUCUAUAGCUCAGAAUAAGAUAAGUUAUAUAUGAAAAAUGAUCAGAAAAAUCCAAUCUAUCCAUUUGUAGCUUUUCCAUGCAUGCUUAAACAAACUAACAUUGCUAUUUAUAUCAAAACAUGAUAAUGCAAUUUAUAAGUUCUUAGUUUGAAUUUGAAUUUGAACCUUUGGUUCAAAUCAACUCAGACCCUUUUGUUCUUAGCUGCAUUAGCUCAAAUCACAGCAUAUCGACAUGUCAUGAUCAUGCAUCAUAUUGUGCAUUGCAUUGAUUGUGUUCUUUCUGUGUUUGCCGGUGGUUGUUCCCCCUCGGUAGAUGUAUGUUCCGACGAUGAGUUUGAUGACACCGAUGAAGAGAUAUCUCAUCUUCAGAAGUGCCAGGCAAGCAAAACCCCCUUAUUCAUUCCGAUACAAUCCCACUCUCUCGCUCCUGCUCUCUUUUAUUGCAUUAGGACAACAACGAUUCAACUAUUACAUGCUGCGGUAGUUGAACCCCUUUUCCUCUGCAUGACCUGUCAUUGCCACAGUAAAUAGAUGAAACCCACUAGCAUGAGUAGGAGUUGUUUGAGCCCUCAUGUGCCUACUCAUUCAUGCUUGUUUGUCAUGCCUGCUACUGCUUAGAGUUGAGUUAGGUCCGAUUCAUCGGGAAUGAAUUGGAAUAGUGAUGAGCAUGUCCUACUGUGUGUGAGCUAAGUGUGUGAUCAAGAUUUGGUAAAGGUAGCGGUGAGAGGCCAUGUAGGAGUACAUGGUGGGUUGUCUCAUUGAAACCGUUCUUAGGAACUGAGUUCUGUGUUUGUGAUCCAUCAACAGCUACUACCACUCAUUGGGAUCCUUAAUUGACCCUCUUGACUUAUUAACUGCCCUAGUCCUCUGUCUAGGAGUUGCAACUAGUUUCUGGUGUUUAUAGGAUAUGUGUUGGCAGCUGUGCGUAGCACUGACCCUAGGGGUGGGCUAAGAUGCGGUGAUACACCGUGGCACGGUGUACCGGGCGCCAGUUUGGUGUCUCGGGAACCCUGCACACAUCGUUUAGGGCUGUGAGAGAAACUCCAGCCGGAUCUCCUCGUGGAUGGAACCCGAAUAGGCGGUAAACCUGGACUAGAGACUUGUGUGGUUAGUCAGGUCGUAGCCGACUCCCUCGCCAAGCUUCCACUUGAAGGUUGCCGAGAUACACGACGUGUACAUGGUGGUAUGUGGCGAGAGCGUGUGUGAAGAAGUACACCCCUGCAGGGUUAUAAAUGAUCUAUUUGAAUAGCAGUGUCCGCGGUAAAGGACUUCUGGGAUGCCUAUAACAGUUUAUAGACAAGUGAAAGUGGAUACUCUAAAAUGCACAAGAUAAGCGUGAGUGCUAUGGAUGGCGUUCUCGUAGGGAGAUGAGUGUGGAUCCAUCGUGUUGUAUUGAUAUGGUGAAUAUGUGGACUCGUGUGCGCCACCUCAAAAGAGUUACUUGCUGUCGUAGUUUAAGAUAGCCACCGAGCCAAAGCUGGCUUGGUGCAGUUAAACUCCACCACCCACCUUUGAUACCGAUGCAUAUGUAGUUAGUUCAGAUGUAAGUCUUGAUGGGUACAUUUGUACUCAUGUUUGCUUAAUUUAUGUUUUGUAGAGAGACGUCAGUAUCGCUAGUAGUUCCGUGUGGACUUCGACGUUUAGCUUGAUACCUCAGCUAUGAUCUUGUGCCCUCGGCAGGACCUGGUAGAUAGUUAGGCUUCUCAGCCUUUUUCAUUUGUAGAUGUCUGUACUCGGACAUGUUAAGCUUCCGCAUGUGCUUUGUCUUGUAUGCUCUGAAUGUUGGGUCAUGAGACCCAUGAUUGUAAUAUUUGGCUCUUCGGAGCCUAAUGAAUAAAUACUUUGAGUCAUAGAGUCUUGUUGUGAUGCCAUGUUGUAUUUACACAUAUCGAGCAUAUUGUGUGUAUGAUUUGAAAUGCUUGGUAUGUGUGGGAUCCAACAACCUAGUUGUUUAUCCUUGGUAGCCUCUCUUAUGGGGAAAUGUAGUCUUGUGCUUCCAUGAGCCAUAGCAGUCCGCUACAGCCCGGUUCACCGGAGUCCUGCUAGCCCGGCACUGCAGCUCCGGAACACUUAGACUGGCCGACAUGUGAUUCACUUUGUUCCUGUGUUUGUUCCUCCGGGGAAAUGUCACACGGAGACAUCCGGAGUCCUGCUAGCCUGCUACAGCCCAGGUUACCGGAGUCCUGUUAGCCCAGUGCUACAGCCCGGAUUCGCACGCUGCUGACCGACAUGCUCGAUGUUGAUUCACGUAUGCCUGUCCCCAUAGGUUAGUGCCACCUUGGGUUCACAACUAGUCCUGUCGGCCCGGGUUCUCUGUCAUAUGGAUGCUAGCGACACUAUCAUAUACGUGAGCCAAAAGGCGCAAAUGGUCCCGGGCCAUGGUAAGGCGACACCCAUGGGAAUACCGUGCGUGAGGCCCCAAAGUGAUAUGAGGUGUUACCGGCUAGAUCGAUGUGACUUGAAAUCGGGGUCCUGACAGCUUUGGUAUCAGAGCCUGACUGCCUGUAGGAUUACCAACCCAACUAUUCGAAGUCGAGUAUAGAAAUGGUUUAGUUAUAUAAGGGAAUUGAUUGUGGAAGGGAACGUAAGGCUCUUUUUACUCCUUUACCUUAUGCCCUUCUGAUCUGAGUCACCCUCAUCUUUUCUACGGGGAUAAGAAACUAGGACUUCUCUUCUUUCUAUCAGGAUGAUGAGUUACUAAUCCAUAGACUUAUAGGAUUGUUGGAUUCAAGGCCCAGUUCAGUUUUUGCUACUUCCGUAUGUUCAUAGCUGGCCUCGGAACCUUGAUAUUGUGAUGUUAAGUGGUUAUGCCACCAAUUUGCAGGAUGUCACAAAUCUUUUUGAGUAUUUACAGCCGUUAUGCUGUCCGAGUCAUCCCAGCUCUCUAAAUAGUCUGAUGCAUGUGAAAUUCCAUUCUUCCCAUUUCCGAUGUCCUUUUGGGCCAGAUUAGGCACACUAAACGGUCUGUUGAGGUACUCUACUGCCUCGACAUAUAAGAUAGAGCUAGUAUUAUGACCCUAGGUGUCGUAGAGAACCACCUGGUACUCCAUCCAUGUUUUGUGUUCCGGUGUGAUGAUUCUGGCCACGAUUCUCGAAAGCAUCCCGUGAUGCCAUUUAGUAGUAGUAGGUAUUCUAUUCCUGGGUUCUUGAACCCGAGAUUCACCCCACUUACUUCAUGUUGAUAGUGUUUGCUAGUUCCUUUAGGAUAUUAGUAACCUUUGCGAUAGUCCUCGAGGUCCGUGGUAUAUCCUUCUUCCACAUACCAUGAGUUGCUUAUGGCAGAAGUUCUUUUGAACCAAAAGAUCACAACCAGAGUGCUCUUGAUGAGUUCUCCAUUCUACAUUGUGAAUAUGCCAGUUCUACCUUUCUGCAUGGAUUAUCUGGAAGAAAUUUUGAGCUUUGCUCGACAUGCUAAUAUAUGCAUCCACAAGUCAUAAAGAUAUAUGUUCCUGUGAGUUGUCCCUCUCUCUAGUUGCAUCCUAAUCUCCGUCUAUCAUUUCACAGUAAAGAGCAUGUCAUGCAUUCAUGCUCAUCGAUAGCUCAUAUUCUUGUGGUCUGUCAAGCCAUUCUGUUCCGGAAUGACUAGGAGAAACAAACUCCAGUACCUUAUCCAUCUCCAGGAUUGGGUCAAAGUAGUUGUAAUCUGCAAAUCAAAAUGCCAAUCCAGCUUUUGUUCUGUUCUACCUCGGAGUAUUACCCCCUUUAUGUCAGGAUUGUCAUGAGAAUUGCAGCAUCUCUCAUGAAUUCUUGACGCGGUGAUACUUCUUACCAUCAUUUUUCAUUCCUCGGUGCCGUGUUGUCACAACCGGAAUGCCGACAAGUGAACCAUGAUGUGUUAAAUCAAUACUCCUAGCAACCGUGUUGCUUGGUAGUUAAUGGACAUUAAUAUCAUUCUUAGCAUGUUGGUUAUCGAAUCACUAUUCUAGGAUUGAUCGUCCUACCUUGUCCUUAUUUCUGGUGCACUCUUCGAUCUUUGAGUUAGGAUUGAAUCCCUUGCUCUUCUGAUCAUGUCGUCUUGCCUUGAAAAGCAAGAUUGUUCUCGAGCUUAGAGACUUAUCGGUGGUUCGAGAUUUUUCAGAUAUCUUCACGGAAGUAUCAUCAGGUCGUCCCCUGACCGAUAUGUUGAGUUCGUGAUCAAGUUGGUUUUCCGAUAAACCACUCUUUCUCCAAGAAUCUGUGUUGGAUCCCCCUGAGCUAGUUGGUUAAGCCAAACAACAACUUGGAGAGUUGGAAGAUAAAAGCUUGUCUGACUUAGUUCAUGUUAAGGGAUAUCUUUUGUGUGUGUGUGUGUUGAAGAAAGAUGAUAUCUCCAUCGAUUGGUCCUCGCGAUCAGUUGUUGGAUCUAUUGCCUUGUCAAAACUUUGACUUGAGUAUGGGCGUCAAGUCAAAUCAGAACCAACGAUGUUCGUAAUGUUGUCUUACUCGUGGUUGAUCCCUCGAGCAUAAAACAUUACAUCUUUUGGUCUGACCAAUGCUAUCACUGUGUUCACAUGGUGGUGGAAGUCCAGUGAUAUGUAAAUUCCAAUGAGUUGCUAUUGAGCCCAUCAGCAGCAUCUUGUCUCCUCCAUGAUUCAUGUUCAAAUCAAGCUAGUGUUGGAAUUUUUGUAAGCAUUAUCUUCAUGUCCCGUUCAUGAAAUACAUGUUUGGUGUAAGAAGUGACUUUUUGCAAGUUCACGUGCAUUAGGUGCAAGUUGCCGCCGUGAAUUCGAGAAAGAUUGUUUUUGUUUCCUUUGGAAUCAUCCCAAGUCAGUCAUGUACGUGCGAAGUAUUCUAUGGUCUGAUAGUCUAAUCAUCUUCAUUCUAUACGUAUCCCUAGCACACCAAGCCACUGAUUGAUUUGUUCAAGGAGAAGAGGUCUCUUCUUAAGAGCAAGACUUAUGCAAGGACUUCGAUGUCGUUGUUGAUGGUUCCCCACCUGAACUCACUAGUGUUUUAUUAUAAGACUACAACAUUGUCAUGCUUGUCUGGGACAGCCUAUUCACAUGUAUGUAGCAGAACCAACUCAUGUUUUGGAGCUUGCUAUCGUAGUUCAUCUCCCGAGAGUCUCGCAACGCCAUCUCGUUGAUUUGUGUUGCAAUCUUUCAUUUUUCUCUCUAGACUGGGUGAGUCUGGAAUAUCCUGACACCAACCAGAUCUGAAUCUCAGGCAGAUAUGAUGGUUGGAACAUUCCCAACAUCUACAUUUUGUUCCCAGCUUGCACCGCCAUUGUGCCAAUCCCCAUGGGCUGCCCUCUCAGUAAUUGUUGUUUAGGAUCAUCUUCAAAAGUGGUCCUACCAUGGGUCCCAUCCAUUUCCGAUGACAAGCAAAAGCAUCCAUUGCGUUGUCAUCAACAAGGUAGUCCACAUCAUCCAUUCUAGUCCGAGUAUGUCAUUCUUUUGAACUCCUUCAAAUGAUCGAAUGUGAUUGCCUUAGGUUGGUAUAAAGAGUCUCAAUGAUCUAUGAAUCAAAAGUAAUUCUUUUUGCCACUUAAGGAAAUAACUCUACGAUUCACCUUCCCUAAGAUGCCCUGUUAUGGGAUCAUGGCAAUUAUUUCAUCGCCACCUUGAGACCAUCCACCAUCUCUCUAAGCGUGGAAUUGUUGCCCACCAAAUCAAACCUCGUUGUUUGUUCUUCCAUCCCUCUCGAUGUGUUUUGUGUCUCAACUCGAGAUGUUUCAACAUCUCAUUCCACGAGUUGAUCUUGUAUAGCUCGAUCUUCGAGAAGAUCAAUCCUAGUAGAGUUUCUUUCCGUUGUCAUCGCGUGGAUGAAGAUCUCAAAAGUGAGGAUGUCAAGAUCAACGUAUGCAAUGAAUCAACAACCUUAUGAUGUGCAACCUGGAUCGCGAAGAUUGUGUUGGUCUUGUGCCCCCUCUGUCUUCUUACCUCACGUCUUGAAUCUCGGGACGAGAUUCUUGUUUAGUGGGGGUGAGUUGUCACAACCCUAGUUUAGCCUUUGCCUGUCCUUGCAUGAUCAACAUGUCUAAAUUCUGAAAUUUGAAUUGAGGGAAUUUUCAAAGCCUUAGAAACCUUUUAAAAAUAAUCAACAUUUAAUUCUCAUUAAAUGAGUCCAAAGAAAUGUUCCUGUUACUCUGCGACAAUAUUGGUAAGAGGUAAAAUUCAAACCAAUAUUUUUGGAAUUACAAAAAUAUUUAGUUUGGGCCUUUGACUUAAAUCAAUGACAUAUUUGAGUUGAAUUUAUUUCUGUUAUAUAAGAAAUAAAGUUCAAAUAUUUUUGUAAGUUGCCCGUGACCUUGGACUAGUUCCCGAGACCACAUAACAAUUUACAGAAAGUUCAAAAAACGAUUUGAUGUUUUAAAUCAAAUCAAAACCAAUUGCAAAAAAUAGAAAACAGAAAAAAAUUAGAAAAAUAGAAAAGGGACUUACCUGGCUUACCUAUCACGGCCCAGCUGGCCAGCCCACCUGGUGGCCCAGCCAUUGGCCUCCUCCUGUCGUCUUCCUCCUUGCCAGAAGGACGGGCGCAUGCCCGACGCGCGCGCAGCGCCGCCCGGCCACCUCCUGCUUGCCGCUUUCCCCCUCGACACUCUGGAGAUGCCACGGGACCCUCCUGGAGCCGUAUGGUCCCCCACACCUCCUCUCCCCUUCUCUGUCUCGCUCUCUCUCCCGCAGCCGAACGCCACGGUCGCCACCGAUCACUGCCACCACAGCCACCGGCCUGCCCUAGCCCAUGGACGUGUCCCCGAGCUCCGCUUUCAUUCUCUACGUCCUCCACACCAAGCCACGCAUCUCGGGAGGCCCUGGAAUGCCGCCAUCGCCAUCGUCAUCAACCUCUGCCCCGACGUUCGCCGUCCGUCGAUUCGCCUCCGUCCGGACAUCCCCAAGCUCGCCGUCAAGCUCAUCGUGAUUGCUGUGAGGCUACGAUCAUUUCCCCCCUAAUCUCGCCUCCGUUUGAUUGCCGUAGCCACCGCCCCCUUGCUAACAGCAGCCGCCACCGCACGGGCUCGUCGCCGGCGCUACCCCGGUGACCAUUGGGUCUUGGCGUGCAUCGUUGUGCUGGCCACGACCCGUAGAGCCCCCCAACACGUUAGCUUGCUCGUUUGAGAGCAGCAGCGCCGAACCCGACAACACAGAGCGCCGACCACCUCGAAGCUCGUCGCCGGUGCCUCUGCAGGCCACCCCAGCUCCAUCCGCCCCCACCACUGGAUGCACCACUCCGCCAGCUCCCCGUAGAUGCUCCCCGCGCGCCAAACCGGACCUUGUAGCAAAAUGCCGAUGCCCUCUGCCGCGGGUUUGGUCGCCGGCAUUCACACGCCGGUGGUGAUGACGUGGUACCAUCAUUAGGGACUAAUUACCAACUUAAUUACGCCCUGACCCGCUGACGCACGGGCCCCAUGCCCUUAGUUAACCACAGUUUAAAUUCCUAUAGUUUUAACUAAUCACAGUGGCCCACGUGUCAGCGUUGACCUGCCUAACGUGGCCCCUGUCCGACCCCACCCGUCAGUGACCCAAGCCAGCUUGUGACACUGACCAAUGGCCCCCCUGGUCAGGUUUGACCUAGACCAGCAUGUUGACUUGCUGACGUUGUCGUGACGUCAGGCUGACGCCGUAUUUAUUUUCUGGAACUUUAAAUAAAUCAGAAAUGAUUUAUUAUUUCUAGAAAAUGCCCAAAACUUCUAAAAUCUUAGAAAAUAAUAUAUAGCUCAGAAUAAGAUAAGUUAUAUAUGAAAAAUGAUCAUAAUAAUCCAAUCUAUCCAUCUGUAGCUUUUCCAUGCAUGUUUAAACAAAUUAACCUUGCUGUUUAGAUCAAAACAUGAUAAUGCACUUUAUAAGUUGUUAGUUUGAAUUUGAAUUUGAACCUUUGGUUCAAAUCAACUCAGACCCUUCUGUUCUUAGCUGCAUUAGCUCAAAUCAUAGCAUAUCGACAUGUCAUGAUCAUGCAUCAUUUUGUGCAUUGCAUUGAUUGUGUUCUUUCUGUGUUUGCCGAUGGUUGUUCCCCCUCGGUAGACGUAUGUUUCGAUGAUGAGUUCGAUGACACCAAUGAAGAGCUAUCUCAUCUUCAGAAGUGCCAGGCAAGCAAAAACCCCUUGUUCAUUACGAUACAAUCCCACUCUCUCGCUCCUACUCUCUUUUACUGCAUUAGGACAACAACGAUUCAACUGUUACAUGAUGCCGUAGUUGAACCCCUUUUCCUCUGCAUGACCUAUCAUUGCCAUAAGAAAUAGAUGAAACCCACUAGCAUGAGUAGGAGUUGUUUGAGCCCUCAUGUGCCUACUCAUUCAUGCUUGUUUGUCAUGCCUGCUACUGCUUAGAGUUGAGUCAGGUCCGAUUCACCGGGGAUGAAUUGGAAUAGUGAUGAACAUGUCCCACUGUGUGUGAGCUAAGUGUGUGAACACGAUUUGGUAAAGGUAGCGGUGAGAGGCCAUGUAGGAGUACAUGGUGGGUUGUCUCAUUGAAACCAUUCUCAGGAACUGAGUUCUGUGUUUGUGAUGCAUGAACAGCUACUACCACUCAUUGGGAUCCUUAAUUAACCCUCUCGACUUAUUAACUGCCCUAGUCCUCUGUCUAGGAGUUGCAACUAGUUUCUGGUGUUUAUAGGAUAUGUGUUGGUGGCCAUGCGUAGCGCUGACCCUAGGGGUGGGCUAUGAUGCGGUGAUACACCGUGGCAUGGUGUACCGGGCGCCCGUUUGGUGUCUCGGGAACCCUGCACACAUCGUUUGGGGCUGUGAGCGAAACUCCGGCCGGAUCUCCUCGCAGAUGGAACCAGAAUAGGCGAUAAACCUGGACUAGAGACUUGUGUGGUCAGUCAGGUCAUGGCCGACUCCCUCGCCAAGCUGCCGCUUGAAGGUUGCCGAGAUACACGACGUGUACAUGAUGGUAAGUGGCGAGAGCGUGUGUGAAGAAGUACACCCCUGUAGGGUUAUAAAUGAUCUAUUCGAAUAGCCAUGUCCACGGUAAAGGUCUUCUGGGUUGCCUAUAACAAUUCAUAGACAAGUGAAAGUGGAUACUCUAAAAUGCGCAAGAUAAGCGUGAGUGCUAUGGAUGGUGUUCUCGUAGGGAGACGAGAGUGGAUCCAUAGUGGUGUAUUGAUAUGGUGAAUAUGUGGACUCGUGUGCGCCACCUCAAAAGAGUUACUUGUUGUCGUAGUUUAAGAUAGCCACCGAGUCAAAGCUGGCUUGCUCCAGUUAAACUCCACCACCCCCCUGUUGAUACCGAUGCAUAUGUAGUUAGUUCUGAUGUAAGUCUUGCUGGGUAAAUUUGUACUCACGUUUGCUUAAUUUAUGUUUUUUGCAGAGAGACGUCAGUCUCGCUAGUAGUUCCGUGUGGACUUCGACGUUUAGCUUGAUACCUCAGCUACGAUCUUGUGCCCUCGGCAGGAUCUGGUAGAUAGUCAGGCUUCUCAGCCUUUUUCAUUUGUAGAUGUCUGUACUCAGACAUGUUAAGCUUCCGCAUGUGCUUUGUCUGGUAUUCUCUGAAUGUUGGGUCAUGAGACCCAUGAUUGUAAUAUCUGGCUCUUCGGAGCCUAAUGAAUAAAUACUUUGAGUCAUAGAGUCUUGUUGUGAUGCCAUGUUGUAUUUACACAUAUCGAGCAUAUUGUGUGUAUGAUUUGAAAUGCUUGGUAUGUGUGGGAUCCAACAACCUAGUUGUUUAUCCUUGGUAGCCUCUCUUAUGGGGAAAUGUAGACUUGUGCUUCCAUGAGCCAUAGCAGUCCGCUACAGUCCGGUUCACCGGAGUCCUGCUAGCCCAGCACUGCUGCUCCGGAAAACUUAGACUGGCCGACAUGUGAUUCACUUUGUUCCUGUGUCUGUCCCUUCGGGAAAAUGUCACACGGAGACAUCCGGAGUCCUGCUAGCCUGGUACAGCCCGGGUUACUGGAGUCCUGUUAGCCCAGUGCUACAGCCCGGAUUCACACGCUGCUGACCAACAUGCUCGAUGUUGAUUCAUGUAUGCCUGUCUCCGUAGGUUAGUGCCACCUUUGGUUCACGACUAGUCAUGUCGGCCCGAGUUCACUGUCAUAUGGAUGCUAGCGACACUAUCAUAUACGUGAGCCAAAAGACGCAAACGGUCCCGGGCCAUGGUAAGGCGACACCCAUGGGAAUACCGUGCGUGAGGCCACAAAGUGAUAUGAGGUGUUACCGGCUAGAUCGAUGUGACUUGGAAUCGGGGUCCUGACAUGGAUCCACCAGCAGCAUAUGGUUGGAUCAAUUUCAGCCACACCCCCGGUAGCCGAACCCCAACCCAUAGUGAUCUCGGAUGAUGAAGAUGGAGAUUGGCUCAGUCUUCGUUCUCCCAGAGAGCCCCAGCAAAGCAAGCCCUCAGCUUGAUCUCAGCCGCACAACCAGUUGUUUCUGCUAGUAGGCCAGUCUGUCAGUUCAUUCCCGAUAUGAGGAUAGAACCCUGUAUCCCGAAGUGAGUAGUUUCGUUUAGCAUGUACAGUGCUCGUGCUUGGUUGUAUGCUGGCACUGUUGUAACUCGUAUGAUGUGUAUAUGCAUGCUUUCUUGCUUUUGGAUUGUUGUGUUGGUUUGUCUCUCUGUCAAACAGAGAUGUUUGACAGGGUUGGCAAUGUGAGUUAACAAGAUUUUAAUCAGUAGAGCACAUACACUAAACACAACAUUUACUCAUCCCGGAUUAUAUAUAUAUAUAUAUAUAUAUAUAUAUAUAUAUAUACCCACUAGCAUUAAAACACUUUGAAUGAUUUGUCUGCUGUGCUUUUCGUUGCAUGAUUUUAUCGCUAUCUGUUUGUUAGUAUAGAUUACUGCAUAACACACUCAUACCCGGUUCACCCACGAGUACAUCCGGGCAGUACUCGAGGAAAUGCAAAGUCACAUAUCCCUAUCUAUCUGUGCAUACCCCGUGUGUCGGAUUUUCAACUCCAGAACCCCGCAGAGGCAUUUCCGCCUGGAAAUUCCUCGUCUCUAAUUCUUUCUUCCGAUUUCAUUUCUAGGGUAACACUACCCACCUUAUUUCAUUCGAACCAGUACAACUACCUCGAUUUCAACUCCGAUUCUACCUCGACACCUACAUUUCGUGGAGCUAUCCGCGAAAUUUUUCCCUACUCCGUGUGAUUCUUGAGCUGGCGCAGCCACCUCACCUGCAUCUGGACCCCACCACCACCACCAUCUUCUGUGCCUUGCGUGGCGCAGGCAAGUCACCACCCCGCUUCACCGCCGCCUACGAUUACUCCGCCAGCGCAAAGUGACGGAAAAUCAAGCGUGGCGGAGGACCACCCAGCGCGCCAUCUUCUCUCGCGUCUCGAGCCACCGCACCUAGCCGCGCGUUGUUCCGAGCUCGCUCAUUCCUGAUGAGAAUCAGCAGGAGGAGUGAUGAGCCGAUCAACGUGCCCAGCAGUGCUGCGAGGAACAGCCGCAACGCCACUAGGAACACCUCCUCGCCAAAGGAGCUCGACUCGAUCUCGCCCAAACCGAAGAGGUAGUAGAGCAGCAUUGUGUUUGUGCGUUGGAGGAGAGCCGUGCUGCCGUUUUUAUAGCCCAACCCCGGUGCACGCUGAGCAAGGUCUAGGAGAACAGCUCGUCGCUCGAUCACCGGCGUCCAGGAGGCGAAUCCGCGAGCAGUGCCGACAAGGUACUGGCCCGCGAAGUGAGUGCUCGCUGCACCGGUGCCGUGCAUGCCGCGCACUACGGCACUAGGGUCCUCAUCGCCCUAGAAGCUAGAUGCGCGCUGCACUACGCCGCAUGCGGAGCAGCGACGAAGAAGAAGCAGCAAGCCGGAGGUAGAAGAAGGAGGCUUCCAGUGGGCCCUAGACCCACGUGUCAGCAGGUGAAACCACUGUUCAUUUGGUGCAUCUAGCAUUUUUCGGGAGUUUGAUCUCGAAUGCCCCUAGCCGUGAAUAUGCCCAAGUUUGCCAUAUCCCUCUCCGGGUGUACCAAUUAUCGGUGCCCCUAUCUCGUUUGAAUUUAACCAAAGGGUUAAAAAUUAAGCCGAGGUUUUUCCCCGGAAUGGUUAUUCUUUCAUUUGUGCUAUAACCCUAGUAAUCUCGAGGACGAGAUUCAUUUUAAGGGGGGAAGAGUUGUAACAUCCCCAAAAUUGGAUUAUCAAUUUUUGUGCUGUUAUUCCUUCCUGGCACUCAUUUUCAAAAUUUUCUCCUGAGUUUGCUGGAUGACUCUAGGAAAUUUUGUCAUUUCCAACCUUUCAAAACCUUGCUCAUGUCUUUUUUCAGUGGGCAAGACCUCAUUUGCAUCUGCUCAAAAUCCUCUCAAACCCUAAUUCCAAAUUUUUGGAAUUUGAAUGUGGCCCUUGUGAUUACAAAGGAGCCAUCAUUUUCCUUGCUCUGUUGAUCCUCCCAAUUGUUCCUAGAGAUCACCCUAUCUUUCUGAACCUUGGAUAUGCAAAAAUAUUGCUAAGUCCAAUGCAAUAUUUUUGGAUUAUGAUUUAUUCCUUUUAUUGCCUUUCUGAGGAAUAAAAUCCAAAGGCAUAGCUAGCCAUCUCCUAAAUUCAUGAUAAUUGGUGGAGUUCAUUCUUAUGCCUAAUCCAAGCUCUAGCAAAGAUAUUGGCCAUAAUUAAAUAAGGAAAAUUACCUUUUCCUAUUUUAAGCCAAUAUUGCACUUCUGCCAGUUUCCAAAGGAAUUACUAUUUUUAUAGCAGGGAAAAUUCCCACACAAUUUGUGGAGCUUGUCCUUGCUAUAUAAUCACUAGUUCCAUCCUCAUCUCAUGAUUCCACAGUUCAAAAUUUGGCACAUGAUCCAAUGCAAGUUUCUGCCUUCUUCGAAAUUUUGCAACGGAAGUUCUUUAUUCCUAAGACCAAUUAAGCUGCAAUUUGGCAGGGUGUUUUAACAUUGUUACAUAACCCAUGGAUACCAAAGAUGAGAUCAAUCCAUUCAUCCUAGCUCCCUGUGCAAUUUUUCAAAGUUUCUGACCAGAACACAAGUUUGUGAAGGAAGCACCUUCAUAGUGUUUCCAAAUGGGAUGAAACUUUUCCAUCCUCUCUAUUAUCUCAAAUCAUUAGCCUCCACCCAAAUUCAGUUCAUUUUAUUGAACUAUGUGAGCGCAGGAGCAAUUCUUUGUUUCUAUCCACAUUUUCAGUUUGUGAAUCAAGUGUAUUUUAUCUUGCUCCAUUAUGGCUGAUAAUUUUCCCAGGCCUUCUCAUAUCCAUAUAACCUAUCUCCACAAGAUUGUGGCUCAUUUCAUCAAGCCAUUUGCCCUGAGGAUUUUUCUAAAUUUUUUUGACAGAAUUGAUAGCUGGGAAGGAAGUACCAUUUUGGUGAGUCCAUUUGGUAUGAACUUUUUACAGCAUCAUGAUAUGUUCAAAUCAUCGGUCUUUGCCAAGUUAUAGCCUAAUCCAUCACUCCUAGUGAGUGUUUCACCAUGAUUCAGUUUUUGGGUCAGUUUUGGUGGUUGUACAGCAACUAUGGUAAAUAGUUGUCCAUUUUACCUCAAAACUCCCAGGACCGUAGUCCUUUCUACCCUAAGCCUCCCAGAAAACUUAUCUACCUUUUACCCCCUCUGGUUUAAUCUCUAGGGUGUUGCCAAAUUUGCAACAUCAAACUUGUGGAGCUUGUUUUACCCAGCUCCGUUUGUCUCUGCCCUUCUACUUACUAUGGUAACACUCCACGCUGGAAGGACUACGCGGUAGACAUAAACUUACUUCAGUAGAAACCCCAGAGCGUGCCAUGCCAGUGGUGACCACGCGUGUAACCAGCCAAAAUGGUGGUCUAGCCACAGUGGUCGUCGGCAUCGCUGCCCCGACCGCCUCUGGUCUCUCCAUCAAUGCCCAAUAGUUGCCCCUCGAUGUCGGCUUCCCUCUGGACCGCUGCCCGCCUUUGUUUUCUUCUCCGGCGAGCCGUGCCAAUGACCCGAAUAGUGUGCUCCUGUGCCUCGUCGUCUUCCUCGCCGAUGUCCUCUUCCUCCGUUCGUCCGCACGCCUUCCUCAUCUCCGUGACCCUCUGGCGUUCGUCUUGAUCCCCCUCGCCGCCUUCCCGUGCUUCCCCGUGAGCCUUGACCGUGCCUGCGCCCUCACCGGCGCACGGACACGUCGCCUGACGUGUGCCACCUCGCCCCCCCCUUCCCGAGCUCCCCGCGGCUAUAGGUAGAGCCCUCGGGCUCGUCCGCGGCCACAACGCCUCCCCAUUCCGUCCUCUCGUCCCCGGAGCCUCUCUCUGACCCCAUCGCCGCCAUGACCGCCACCUUGGUCGUUGCUCGAUUCCAGCGAUGUGGCCCCCCCUCUCGCCGUUCCACCUCCACCACUGCCCUCCCUAGGGUCCAGUGAGUCUUCCCGUGGCCUCAACCCCUCCUCUCCUCCAUCGUAGCCAUCACCUCGCCGGCGACCGAACCCUCUUCUCCUCCGCGGGCUGUGCUGCUUCCUCUAGAGUGCUUGUCGGCGGCCGCAACCACCCUCAUCCGAUGUGCCUCGCAGCCCCGAUCUCCUGGGUAGGUCGUGCGCCUCGAGAGGUGGCCGGACACGCCGGCGAUCGGCGUCGGGGCGGACGCCUUCGUCAGCCUCGCUCUCUCCGGACCAGGAGGUUGAAGAUGCCAGGCCAGGCGGGCCCCUCCUCGCGCGGCCCCACUUGUCUGCAAGAGAAGGGCGUGGCCCAGUCGGCCACGUGGAUAAGUGGCGGCGCCCCGCCAUGAAGCCGUCUCCCUCACGCGAAAGUGUAUUCUGUGAAGCACGCUUUCAUUCACUGAAAGCGUAUUCUUCCUCUGCUUCGGCCGGAAAUAUGUUUUCCUCUCUGGAAAACAUAAUCUCCGAAAAGACACGUUCUGUUUAAACUACCAGGGACCUGUUUGUAGAAAUAUUUUUAUAGACUAGUCCCUGAGCUUUAAACGCCCGUAUCUUUUUACCCGUAACUCCGAAUCAGGUGAUUCCAGUGCUCACGUUCUCUGUUCGAUGAGCUCUUUCCGUUGGUCUCAUAUUCAUAAUGUUUUCACCCAGUGAAAAUGACCAUUUUGCCCUUGCCCGUAAACAGCCUCCUCCGGGAGAGAACUGUUUCCGGCAAAUCUUUCCGCGAUCGUUUCCCACUUCUUCCCGGAGUAUUUGUCGACCCCCAGGCAAGCCAACCUCUUAUAAUGAGCCCCGAACAUCCAUGUUGACUUUGCUUGCACCUUGUGUGUGUGUAGUUGCAGUUGUUUCAUAUCGUUUUCAUCGGCAGUUAUUUCUUUAUGCUUAUCAUGAAUGCUUAUGUUUUCAUGAUAUCUUUUGCCAUGUUAAUUAAAAUGCUGUUAUUAAUAAUGCCAUGUCACUACUCUACUAUAUUUGCAUGUCAUCGUUAUAAAAUGUUCUGUGAAUUUUAUAUGCACCGUUGAUAUGCUAUUGUCACGUUCUUUAUGCUAUGGUUGUGCACUUGAGAAAUUCAAUAUUUUGUUCAUGCAUUUGUAUGCCGCAUGUUGCACUUAUGUUAAGUAUGUUCAUGAUGAUGGAGAAGGAAAUAAAAUGACUUAAUAAUGACAAACCUCCUCCGUCAUCGAUAGGAUUGAGUCAUAGUGCCACCAAAUCGAACUUUUUCAGUGCAGCCACAUUUGCCUUAUGGGGGGCCUUAAUGCGAGCUAUUGUCGUGACCUCUCGUCGUUGCCUCCAACUAGGGAAGGUUAUGGGCGUGCUUACCCUAAGCAGGUAUGCGGACAUAAGCUUGUGUGCUCGUUUUUUUGAGAUUUUUGGUACCAGUCCCCGAGUGGGAGUGUCCCCAAGUGGGAGAUGACCACGAUGGUGGUCGGGGUGUAUUUGGUAGACACGGGGCCACCCAGGACCAGCCUGUUGGGGAUUGGGUCAGAGUGGCCGGGAGAGUGUCGUGGCAGUAGAUCGGUUUCGUCGGAAUGCCGUUGGUCCACCCGAAUGGGAUGAUGAGGCCAUGGGUUCCAUGGUGUGGGUACUGUGUGUUACCUCUGCAGAGUGUAUAAGGCUAUCGAUAGCAACAGUUCGUAGUAGGUCCCACUAUCAGAUCUUGGUCGAAAUGGAGGAUAAACUGAAAUAAUUAAGUGAGUAAAUAAAUAUGUGAUAACAAAAAUAUGGUGACUUGAACUAUGAGAUAGUCGUGAGAAGUCACGGUGAUGUUUUGGUGGUGAUCGCCGUAAGGAUCACGAGUUAUUUUGGUGGUGGACGACAUUAGGAUCACAAGUUAUUUUGGUGGUGAUCGCCGUAAGGAUCACAAGUUAUUUUGGUAGUGAUCGCCGUAAGGAUCACAAGUUACUUUGGCUGUGAUCGCCGGAAAGAUCACUGUUCGGUUGUGAGGCAACCCGUUGAUAAGAGAGUCCGAGGGACUCGGUGUACAAGUUUGGUUACAUUGCAUGAGUAAUAUAUCAUUAAUUGCAUUUAAAGAACCAUGAUAGAACAAAAGAUGAAUGCAUAAAGUUAAUAUGCUAUGGCUGCAUUGGAUAUUAUUGGUAGUUUAUUUUCAGCAUAAUUUCAUGAUGCUAUGCCAUACUUUGAUUGAUAUGUUAAUUUUUGCCAUUAUUGAGCUGAGAUGAUAUGUUUUGCCUUUGCCAUGUGAGAAGCAUGAUCUGAUAUGCCAUGUUAUUGCCAUGUUAGCAGAUGUUAUGAUUGCGUUCAUGUUUAGUUGAUCUUUAUCAUGCCAUGCUUAGUAAUUAAUAUGAGAUAGGUUGUUGCAUGCGCUCGAUUCUUGCUUUGUCUUCUGCUUGUUUGGAUGCUAUGUAUUUAGCUGUCUUGCAAGUCCAUUCAAUGUACUGACAUGGCGUGUCAUGCCAGUUCUGUAGGUCAUACCCGUAUUGUUCGCUUGAUCCGUCGUGCUAGGCCGUAACCUUGCCAGUCCUGUGAGUUGUGGAGCCCAGCCAGAGUUGUUAUGCUGCCAAACCAAG
rnacentral:lncRNA from 1 species